rnacentral:lncRNA from 1 species
UUCACUUGCAUUUUCCUCAAGUCAUUAUCCUAACAAUAACCAGACAUGUCCUUUCACUUCCCAGGUAAAUUUCACAUACUCUUGGGUGCAGUGGGCGUGUUCAUCAUUCUCAGUUAUCAACGAGAGAGGAACCAGCCAAUGCCUUCUCAUUGAUCAAAAACACGUCAAUCAAAUGGACAGCCGCCUACUUGAUUUGCUUAGGCAUGCAUUUCCUCUUGUACUAAUACAGCUAAGAAUGUAUCACUAGCCAUCAUCAGUUAAUUAAAAAUAUGCUCUCGUCCAUGUCUUACAACAGGUGGUAUAUUCUUCAAAAUGUCCCAAAGAAGGUAACUCUGCAGCUCCUAUUCAUUCGAUCUGGUAUACAGAGGCAAAUUUUGGCGGAGGAAUUCCCUGAUAUCGGUAGCAGAUUUCUGUAAUCUUUUCAUAAAAGGAUUUCUUGCAACAGAUGGUAUUUUCUUUUUGUACUAAUCAAUCUCUUCUCUUCGUAAAGAUUGCCGUCUCGACUUCAUUCAAAACCCAACUCCAUUAGUGACAGAGUGAAUACAAAGAGGUAUUUCCAUCGAAUGUUCCUUUUUCCUUUUUAAUAGGACCUUUAUAAUAUUUAUUUUCUUUUCUGGACCGGUUUGCAUCUCUUAUCAUGGAAUAGAUGAUGAAACAAUAUAGAUUUGCAGUGUAAACGAACAUGCUUAAAUAAAUGCUCUUAGAGUCGUCACAAACUAAAAUAUUAAGCACAGACGGUCUAAGUAAUAGACAAGCCAGUUCGAUUUCAUAUCUUAUCUUAGACUGUGAAGAAAGAGCAAAACGUCCAUAUAAUUCUCAUAGCUCAUAGGAGAACUCCAGAUAUAAAUAGGAGUGACAAAGAUGAAGAAUAUGGAAAGAUACACAAGUGACAGGAAAAGAAUAUGGUAACUUAACAUAGGGAGAUAAAGUUCACGAUGAAAUGAAAGAAUAAAACUAGAGACAUGCCUCCAACUUACCUGAUGAACGCUACCAUGUACAGAGUGCAUUAUGCUUCAACAAAGGCAAUCACCGGCAACAACUCCAGAAGAAAAAUGAGGAUGGAACUCGACCGGUUCUUCUGAUGAACUCUGCCUGCUGAGCAGUUCUUGCGGCUUGUUGAUUUCUUUUGGCUUCUGCCACGGCACGCA